GGCGCUAUCGUCUAGCUUGGUCUAGGACGUCAGAUUCUCAUUCUGAAAACAGGGGUUCAAAUCCCCUUAGCGCCA
rfam:Omnitrophica bacterium RIFCSPLOWO2_12_FTLL_44_17 rifcsplowo2_12_scaffold_409, whole genome shotgun sequence.